AAAAAAAUAGCUGUAAAGAGAGAAAAUGAUGGAAGUGAUGAUGUCGUGAGCUCACACCAGGCUGCUUGCUGGAACUUCCGUGAAUGCUCCAGCACGCUGCCCACGGUACUCUGGGACAUCUCGCUUGGCUUCACUUUUUUAUCUGUGUUGUCUCCGGCCUCUGUACCUUCAUGACAGGUCUGCCCGGUGGGGCCCAGCUGAUGCCCCCCACUGCCUCCCACCUGCAGCCUGGUGGCCAGGACAUCCACCUCUCCCAUCCCUGCAGCUUGGCUGAGAUGAUGAGCUGAUGUAAGCACGUGGUGCUGAGCCUUGGGGCUAGCUGGAGGACCACACAGAGCGUAAGAGAUGCCUGCACUAAAAGGGCUUGGCUGCCCUCACAAUUGCUGUACUGCCCGCAGCAGGCUUCCCUCCAUGGACACAGGCGCCACCACCCACACCCCACCAGGAAGAAUCCCCAGGUAGCUCCACACCUUGGAAUGAAGGCCAAGCAAGCUGCAGAGAGGAAAGCCUUACUUUCCCCAGUCUCAGUCCACUUCUUUUUGUACUCUGGGAUUAAACUCUUUUCAGGAUGACUAACAGUGGAAGCAUCUAUUUGUUCAGAAGGAAACAGCCACUCCGACCCACAGGUUCUGGUCUCUGCCGGCCGGUGCCAGUCAAUAGAGUAACUGAUGAUGAAUUUCACAAAGCCCAGUCCAUUCCGUCUCAGAUGCCAAUAAGAAUCCGUCCAGGCCAGGUGCAGUGGCUCGCGCCUGUCAUCCCAGCACUUUGGUAGGCCAAGGCGGGAGGAUCAUUGGAGCCAGUAAUUCGAGACCCGCCUGGGCAACGUAGGAAGACCCUGUUUCUACAAAAAGAAAAAGGAAUCCGUCCAGGAGGACAAACGCUGUCAGCUCCAAUUCUAGGAGGUACAUGGAGUAGUCACAUUCAUAGAGACAAGACAUAGAUUGGUGGUUGUCAGGGCCUGGCGGGAAGGGGAGGGGGAAUUAGGGUUUAGCAGGUACAGAGGAAGCUUCAGUUGGUUGGAUGAAAAAGUUUUGGAGCUAGGGCACGGUGAUGGCUGUACAAAAAUGUGAGUGUGUAUCAGGCCACAGAACUGCACACUUAAAAAUGAAUACAAUGGGGACUUUUAUCUUAUGCACAUUUUAUCACAAUUUUAGCAAAUCAGUCCAGGUUGCACCAUGCUGCAUCUGGACUGUUCUUGUCACCAUCUCUCUCCAGUGUGAGGCGAGAUAGAGGCCAGAUCUGGGGGCAGAGUCCAGCAUUGGCUGCAGGCCUCCUGUGAGCAAGCUUAGACCAAAAGGCACACAAACAUUUCCCAAGAGCAACAACAGUUUCCUGCUCAGGCCAAGUCUGCAUGUGGGGAGAAGAACAAAAUAUUUCUCCGAACUCUGCAGGGUGCAGUUCAGCGGGCACUCUCAAAUGCACUCAGGGCGUGCAGGGGGCCCCAGGAGAAUAAUGAACAUGCCUCGAGUUCAUGGCUCCCAAAGACCCCGCCUGGUUCAUUUUCUCAAAACAAAAGAAGCCUUUCUAGGGCAUUAAGAGCUUCGACCUCCAGUGCAGAAACUGCUGGCGACUUUGAAAUGGCAGCCCUCCAGCCACAAAGAAAAUCUCCAGGCUCUGCAUGCCGCGCUUACACACAGACAUUGCGGCACUCUCAAAAUCUGCACAGAUUUGCAAGAUGGAACUUGCCUUCAAAGAAAUGUUGUCUCCCUUCUGGCUAGACAUCCCUGCCCUUUGGGGUUCUUUGCUCUCUCGCCUUCAGCCUUCAGGAGCAGUUGAGUGGAAAGUUUGGGAAGUCUGAGCCGGGGUCAACUCUCUCUGGAGUUGCCUGCCUUGGGAAAGGCCCAGGUUGAAGUCUUCCUUGCUAGAGGCCCCGCCCAGACACCUGAGUAGCCCACCCUGUUGAACAGCUUAGCAUUCUCCACUUGUAAGGACUUUGACUACAAUGAGCCUGAAGGGAGCUGAAAUGCAAGAAAAGAAAAAGAACAGCUUCAUGUGCCACAGUGAAAUCCCACCAAGAGAAUUCUCUGAGAUGGUUCACAAGCCCUCAACAGACCCUCCUGGGCACGCCAGACCCCCUGUCAGAUCUCAGCAGCCCCAGUGGAGCUCUGGGGUUCACACAGUCACCAAGAAAAGGGAGUCCAGCAAGUCACUGCGGGUGACCCUAAGGUUAAACCCUGACUUGGCAAUAAAACCUUGAACAUCCUGGGAUACUUUUGAAGUCAUAUUUAAUUCUUUGAAAGCACAGGCAGUGAAGUCCACAACUCCUGGAGCCCCGUCUUUAUGGAGGAGAGGGAGGCAGAGGAAUGGACACUAUAGGCAUUAGUAGUGAGCAAAAUAUUUCCCAAUGGUCUGAAAGAAUCAAUGGGCCCAACUAAAGGAUACCUGAAGAUCAAGGCUUGCCGGCAGGAGGAAGAGCCGGUCUCAGAAUACAGCCCAGGGCAUGUGGACUGCAGAGGGCUGCAGAGAGAGGGACAGGCCUCCUGCUUCUCCUUCUGUGUCCCUCAGCCAUCCUCCUUCAGUUUUCCCUGGACAAUAUGGUGCCAAUCACAUAAUCGGAGAGUUGGGGACCCUUGCUGGGCCCUGCAGAAACUUGUGGCAAUAAGGCAGAGGGCAGGUGCAUUGAACGUGGGUUCAGAAGCCCCGGCCUGAACCAGGGCUAUUCCCCGGCUGUGAGCUGGAAACUUUGAUGGGGCAGCCCAUGCGGUCCCUCAGGGCCAGCCUCCUCCUUUGUAAAUAAGGGCAGGAGGGAUUUAAAUCACUGAUUUAAGUCAGGGGUUCUCAAAUUCUAGUGCAAGAACUGGUGCUAGACUGUGAAAAAGUAUUCAUUUUCACAGGUUGAUGGAGAAAAGAGAAAACCACAAUAACAAAAAAAGUAAUAAUUUUGUCCUGAAGCUAAUUUAUUUCUAUUAAAAUGCUGAGAAGUUCUGUUUUGUUACAAUUCACUUUGCAUGUGAAUUCUAUCACAGUGGUGAGGUGGAUGAUAUGUAUUCUAAUUACUUCAUCUGAGUGAAUAAAAAGUUAGCAACUCAAUACAGUUCUUCCAAAUCUUUUUUUUU
rnacentral:lncRNA from 10 species